AGAUUGAACGCUGGCGGCAUGCCUAACACAUGCAAGUCGAACGGGAGUAGCAAUACUCUAGUGGCGGACGGGUGAGGAAUACGUAGGAAUUUGCCCUUAAGUGGGGGAUAACCCGGGGAAACCCGGAUUAAUACCGCAUGACCUCGAAAGAGCAAAGUGGGGGAUCGCAAGACCUCACGCUUUUGGAGAAGCCUACGUCGGAUUAGCUAGUUGGUGAGGUAAUGGCUCACCAAGGCGACGAUCCGUAACUGGUCUGAGAGGAUGAUCAGUCAC
rnacentral:rRNA from 1 species